UACGUCCUACGGGAGGCAGCAGUGAGGAGUAUUGGUCAAUGGGCGCGAGCCUGAACCAGCCAAGUAGCGUGAAGGAUGACUGCCCUACGGGUUGUAAACUUCUUUUAUAAAGGAAUAAAGUGAGGCACGUGUGCCUUUUUGUAUGUACUUUAUGAAUAAGGAUCGGCUAACUCCGUGCCAGCAGCCGCGGUAAUACGGAGGAUCCGUGCGUUAUCCGGAUUUAUUGGGUUUAAAGGGAGCGUAGAUGGGUUGUUAAGUCAGUUGUGCAAGUUUGCGGCUCAACCGUAAAAUGGCAAUUGAUACUG
rnacentral:rRNA from 1 species